rnacentral:rRNA from 1 species
CCUACGGGGCGCUGCAGUGGGGGAUAUUGCACAAUGGGGGGAACCCUGAUGCAGCGACGCCGCGUGGGUGAAGAAGCGCCUCGGCGCGUAAAGCCCUGUCAGCAGGGAAGAAAAUGACGGUACCUGAAGAAGAAGUCCCGGCUAACUACGUGCCAGCAGCCGCGGUAAUACGUAGGGGGCAAGCGUUAUCCGGAUUUACUGGGUGGAAAGGGGGCGCAGACGGCGAUGCAAGCCAGGAGUGAAAGCCCGGGGCCCAACCCCGGGACUGCUCUUGGAACUGCGUGGCUGGAGUGCAGGAGGGGCAGGCGGAAUUCCUGGUGUAGCGGUGAAAUGCGUAGAUAUCAGGAGGAACACCGGUGGCGAAGGCGGCCUGCUGGACUGCAACUGACGUUGAGGCCCGAAAGCGUGGGGAGCAAACAGGAUUAGAUACCCCUGUAGUC